AAACGGUAGCUAAUACCGCAUAACGUACGCAAGACCAAAGUGGGGGACCUUCGGGCCUCAUGCCAUCAGAUGUGCCCAGAUGGGAUUAGCUAGUAGGUGGGGUAAUGGCUCACCUAGGCGACGAUCCCUAGCUGGUCUGAGAGGAUGACCAGCCACACUGGAACUGAGACACGGUCCAGACUCCUACGGGAGGCAGCAGUGGGGAAUAUUGCACAAUGGGCGCAAGCCUGAUGCAGCCAUGCCGCGUGUAUGAAGAAGGCCUUCGGGUUGUAAAGUACUUUCAGCGAGGAGGAAGGCGUUAAGGUUAAUAACCUUAGCGAUUGACGUUACUCGCAGAAUAAGCACCGGCUAACUCCGUGCCAGCAGCCGCGGUAAUACGGAGGGUGCAAGCGUUAAUCGGAAUUACUGGGCGUAAAGCGCACGCAGGCGGUCUGUCAAGUCGGAUGUGAAAUCCCCGGGCUCAACCUGGGAACUGCAUUCGAAACUGGCAGGCU
rnacentral:rRNA from 1 species